CUUUCAAUAAAGUUUUGGGGACGACGGGGGUGGUGCUCGGGGUCAUCGCUGGCUCCAGCGUCGUUUUGCUCACUGUCAAUGCCGUUUUGGCUGAGAUUUCCGAUACCAUUUUUGCCGGAAAAGGGGUGCAGGAUUUCUUUGGCUGAUGACAUAUUCUUUUUAGUUUUUAAUUUUUCGUUGCGGUUGGUAUUGUAGGUGUACGCACUUAUCGUUUCUUUGGCGCCGCUGCUUCUGUGAAAUUGGGCGACACCAUUCAAUGUUAAUGCUCAUCGUUUACCUCAUUUUGUUUUUGUUAAUACUUGUUUUUCCCAACUUCUGCCAGAAUUUGUCAACUUAUUACAUUGGCAAUCAGUAAUUGAUGUGCUGGAAUAUAUAGUAAGCGCAAUCAGAUGUGUUUAAGUAGGAGUAGUACUCCCUCCGUCCCACUUAAACGCAACAUUGCUUUUGGGCAUAAGAUUUAAGGAAGGAGUGAUAAAGUAGGAGAAAAGAAGUAAUAAAGUGAUAAAGUAGGAGAGAGAAUAUAAUAAGAAAAUAUUUAAUUAGUGAUAAAGUAAGAAAGAGAAAAUAAAAAAGUGAUAAAGUAGGAGAGAGAAUGUAAUAAGAAAAUAUUUAAUUAGUGUUAGUUUUUGCCAAAUAAAGAAUGUAGCAUCUUGGUUGGGACGGCCCAAAAAGGAAAAUGUUGCAUCUUGGGUGGGACGGAGGGAGUAUUAUUUAAGACUUCAAUUUGACAAGACUUUUAAGAGGGUGUUUAGCUGAGCUUAUAAGAGCAUCUCCAGCGGGUGUGUCGAAGGAGGCGUCGAUCCGGGUCGCCAGGGUGGUGGCCGCGCUGGAGAUGCGGCGUGGUUCGAAGCAGCGGCGAAGCGAAGACACGAGGCGAAGGCCGAUUUUGUGCGGAGCGUGUAUACCACGCUCUGAAAUUUAAAAAAAAAAUGAAAACAAGAGAGACAAUUGCAGAAGGGAAGAAGAAGAAGAAGAAGAAGAAAAAGAGAGGCGGUGGGAGACCGUUGCAGAAGGGAAGAAGAAGAAGAACAGAGGCGGUGGGAGACCGAUUUUAUUUUGAUUUUUGAUUUUUAAAAAUUUUAAAAAUCUAAUUUUUUUAUCAUAAUUUUUAUUUUUUUUAUUGUAUUUAAAUUAUGUCUUUAAAUUAUUGUAAUGUUUAAUUUUAUUUUUAAUGAAACUAAAAAUUUAAAAAUAAAAGUGUAGAAAUAUGAAUUUUGUGGAAAUAGAGAUUUAAGCACCCACCUAAGACACAAUGCAUUGGAGAGGGGUGUGUCUUAGGUGGGGCCCACUCCUAAGACACCCCUCUAAGACACCACCAUUGUGGAUGCUCUAAGCUCCUCAAAAGUGUUUGGCAAAAUAAGUUUUCAAAAGCUUAUAAGCUCCCCAAAAAAUAAGUUCCUCUACCCCAAGUUAUUUUUUUAUAAUCUCAUAUGCAACAAUCAUUUUACAAAUAUUUUUCAACUAUAAUUUAUUAUUUUCAUUAUGUAUUAUUCAAGUUCAUUUUUCUUCGAUUUUCUCUCUCUAAAAAAAUAUUUUUCCUCUCUAACGAAAAAUUCUCUCUCUAACUUUUAAGUUCAAUUAUUCAAACACUUUGACAACUUAUAAACUCUUAAAAAUUACAUCUUAUAAGCUCUUGAAACAUCUUAUAAGCUCCAAGAACUUAUAAGCUCUUUAAAAUAAGCUUAGCCAAACACCCUCUAAAUCUUUUUCCUACUAAACACAAUGAGAUGUGGUUGAAUAUGUAUAAUAAACGCAAUGCAGAGGGUGUUUGGCUGAGCUUANGCUCACUGUCAAUGCCGUUUUGGCUGAGAUUUCCGAUACCAUUUUUGCCGGAAAAGGGGUGCAGGAUUUCUUUGGCUGAUGACAUAUUCUUUUUCGUUGCGGUUGGUAUUGUAGGUGUACGCACUUAUCGUUUCUUUGGCUCCGCUGCUUCACCAUUCAAUGUUAAUGCUCAUCGUUUACUUCAUUUUGUUUUUGUUAAUACUUGUUUUUCCCAACUUCUACCAGAAUUUGUCAACUUAUUACAUUCGCAAUCAGUAAUUGAUGUGCUGGAAUAUAUACUAAGCGCAAUCAGAUGUGUUUAAGGAGUAGUAGUAUUAUUUAAGACUUCAAUUUGAC
rnacentral:lncRNA from 1 species